UUGUGUGUGCCGGGCGGGGCUGUCUUUUCUCUCGGGCAGUGAGUUGGACAGCCCUAGCCUUGGGUGGGAGGAGAGCAAGAUGGCAGCCUCCUUGUGGCUGAGCUGCCGCAGCAAAGGGAUGGACAAACUACUCCUGGGUGGGAGGCUAGUCGCGGGGGCUUGUGCGUCUCUCCGCCUUGGAGGAGGCUGGAGGCUUCUGCACAGGAGCCACGAGCUGCUGGGUAUUCCUGCAUUUAAAAUACUCAUGCCUGCACUGUCUCCUACAAUGGAGGAAGGAAAUAUUGUGAAAUGGUUAAAAAAGGAAGGUGAAACUGUAAAUGCAGGAGAUGCAUUAUGUGAAAUCGAAACGGACAAAGCAGUGGUAACCAUGGAGUCAAGUGAUGAUGGCAUAUUGGCUAAAAUAAUGAUGGAAGAAGGAAGUAAAAACGUGCGUCUGGGAACACUAAUUGGUUUGCUGGUAGAAGAAGGACAGGACUGGAAGCAGGUUGAAAUACCAGCAGAUACUGGCGAUCCAUCUUGUCUGGCACCCCCGAUGGCUCCGCCUGCAGUUGCACCUAGUCCCCCUCCAGUAGGCGUUUUAGCUUCAGCCUCUACCAAAAUGGAACAUGGGCUUGGAAAACUACCGAUUCGCUUAAGUCCUGCUGCCCGCUACAUUCUAGAGACACAUGGACUUGACCCAAGCAGUAUUACUCCCUCUGGGCCUCGAGGAAUCCUCACUAAAGAGGAUGCACUCAAUCUUCUGCAGCAGAAACAGAAGAGCAAAGCUGUGGAAUCGAGACCUAUGGUUUCUCCAGCCCCUACUCAGCCUACUGUAGUGCCUUUGGCUCCACAAGCAACAACUGUGUCCUCUAUUUAUCCACGGCCUGCAGUUCCACCAAUUUCUAUACCGGGUCAGCCGGCCGCACAGGGUACGUUCACAGAAGUCCCUGCCAGCAACAUCCGAAGAGUUAUUGCUAAGAGAUUAACAGAAUCUAAAACCACUGUGCCUCAUUCAUAUGCUUCUACUGACUGUGACCUUGAUGCUAUCUUGAAACUAAGGAAAGAACUAGCAAAAGAUGAUAUUAAAGUAUCAGUAAAUGACUUUAUUAUCAAAGCAACAGCAGUUACCCUCAAACAAAUGCCAGAUGUGAAUGUGACCUGGGAUGGAGAGGGCCCCAGGCAGCUGCAAUCCAUCGACAUCUCUAUUGCUGUGGCAACAGACCGAGGUCUCAUUACACCAAUCAUAAAAGAUGCUGCUGCCAAGGGAGUGCAGGAAAUUUCUGCCUCUGCAAAGGAUCUCGCAAAGAAAGCAAGAGAUGGAAAACUGUUACCUGAAGAAUACCAAGGAGGAUCUUUUAGCAUUUCCAAUCUGGGCAUGUUUGGCAUCAGUGGCUUCAUUGCUGUCAUAAACCCUCCUCAAGCCUGCAUCCUAGCUGUGGGACGAGCUCGACCUGAACUCAAGAUUGUGGAAGAUGAAGAAGGGAACGAGAAACUUCUGCAACAUCAGCUUAUGACAGUGACACUGUCAAGCGACAGUCGGAUGGUAGACGACAAACUGGCUUCAGUGUUUCUGGAGACCUUGAAAGCAAACCUAGAGAAUCCGAUACGACUUGCCUUAUGUUAAACUGAUCAGGGAUUGGCUCCUGCUUUGGCAAAAUAUGGAACAAGGUUACAAACUGUUCCCCUCUCCUCCCCCACUGCCCCAGAGAAAUAACGAAUACUAAGCAUGGGGGGGACAAUUAAAAUAUUUAAUUUAUUUUAAUUAACUGGAAAGACUCUUCAGAUCCAUCUUUUUGAUCAUUUCCAGCUCUCAAGUUUUAUACUGUAAAACUGAAAUACUUUAAAGAAAUAUUAAAAUAGAACUAAUGCAUUAAAGUUCUUUCACUGCUUAAUAGCAACUACACCAAAUUUAAACAUAUAUGUUACUGUUUAGCUAGAGAAGUUUAGAAAACCUUGGGAAAUUUGAGUGAGAAACGUGAAAUGAAAAAGAGAAUGAGGCAAUGCUUUGUUUAAGGACUAAACUAGCUUUCACAGUGAGGAAAGCAAGUAGCAUGACUGAGUAAGAUGGCCCUAUAAAUCCCUAUCAUCAUUAAGAGAAUCAAACCAGCUAUCGGUUCAAGCAAUAUAUUUUAGCUAUUUAAUAUGUGAAGAGGGUUCCAGCCAAAAUCUUCUGUUAGAGUUGGGUGAUAUAAACUGUGAGAGCUCUGAGAUUUUUUAUGAGGAUUUUGCUAGGGGUUCUACUUGACGCUAGAUAAGUUACUUUGGUUGGUGACACAUGGCCCUAUAUAAGUUACUUUGGUUUGGUUCAUGUCACAAGCUCAACCAUUCUUGAUCUUUUACUUUACUAUGAGCUUUUCCAGAUGAAAAUAACAGAGGGUGGAAAAAUUCUAGUGCACAAAAACCAAAUUACAUAAUGGAUGUAAAUGGAAAAACUCAAAUAAAAUAAAAUAUUAAAUAGCCUAUUAGCAUCUAAAGCUGGAUUUGAAAAUGCACUUAGCAUUAGAUUAAUUAAAAACACAUUUAAAGUGUGUGUGGAUAUGCACUUCAGCAUUUUAAGUUCUCUACUUAAUGUAGUGUCCCACAAAGGAGACAAAUUUAAUAAAUGUGUCAGUAAGAGUUUUGUCAUUUACUUCAAUAGAGCCAGGAUUUCACCCCAGAUAUUUUUCUCAUUACAAACUUUAAAUCUGCAAUAAAUUGUGAAAGUGAUACUUUCCUUUUUAACCCAAUACAUUAUUACAAUAGUAAUGAGUUCGAUUACAUUUAAAUAUCAAAAUCUAAUUGGUGUGUCCUUGUUUAACUAUUGUAAAUUGCAAUAGUGCUUUUGCAAUUGUUCCAUGGUAUGUUAUCUGAUAGGUAACUGAAAAUUGAAGUGUGUUUUGCAGACUGACUAUCUUGAUGAUCUUUCUGUCACACAGUGGUACCAACUUCUUCAUCAGACCUGAGUGGCAAAGCCAUGCAGAUUAACUUCAGCGUGUGACCUGUAGCUAACCCCUUCACAGCAUGCAGAAUGGUUAUUUGUAAGUAUCCCAACAUUGUCACUGGAUUGAAACAUAGUUGGUGAGGCAUGAUUUGUGCUUCCCAUCCAACUGAAGAAAGUCUGAACAAGUGAAAAUGUCUUGUGGUUUCAACCUAGUCCCAAGGAGAUGAGUGUCCAUAUUACAGAGUAACCACACCAUUUGGCACAGCAAAUGACUGCUACAAGAGAAAUGGAACAGCAAAAGUGGAGCUAUUUAGGAUUAAAAUAUACAGAAAAUAUUUCAUUCUGGAAAACUUAGGUUUAAAAGUAUUGUGGAUAAGAUGUUUCAGAAGUGUCUUAAUGGUUAAAU